AAAUACUAAGUCCUAAACCAGGACUACCACCUGAUUGUGCCCUACACAAAGGUCCCUGAUGUGCAGGGUGAAGAAAACUUUCUACACCAGUGAGCCUGUAAACAUAAAAUUUCAGGUGUGGAGAAUGGGCCUCUAAGGAAAGAUUUGAGGGACUUUGGCAAAAAUCUUUUAGUGUUCUGUGCUAUUUUGAGCACACCUGCAAACCCGUGACCAAAGUUCCUGCUGCUUCCUGUGUCUCUGUCCCGGGGAGUCCUGAUCACCCACCAUUUGCUCAGAGAUGCCUCAUUUCUCAUGGAAACACGACUGACUGCUUCUUCGCAAACAUCCAUGCUUAGAGCUCACUGCUGGACAAGC